ACUAUUCGUUAGAAAUUCAAAGAAGAUGUUUCGUCUUAUCUUCCUUAUUGUUAUUUUAACGCUGCUAUCUUUUAUGGCAAUUGUGAGUAAUGGUUUACUAACAUUCAAAUUGUCGCAUGUGAAUGUCAGACCAUAUGCACUAAGACCAGGCUUUAUAGUACGGUAAAUAAAUGGAAUACAAAAAGGCAUUUGUGAAACUCUACAAUCUGAUAUUAUAAUAAAGAUUUGAAUCCAUUCA